GAACGAGAUGAUGAUCAUGAUUUUGUUUCCCUAUUGGUUUGAUUGCCGAAAUGAUGGUAUCAUACUUGUAUUAGCUCUAUCUGAUCGUUC